rnacentral:lncRNA from 1 species
CGGAGGUUGCAGUGAGCUGAGAUCGCACCACUACACUCCAGCCUGGGUGACUAAGCUAUACUGUGUCUCAAAAAUGAACAAACAAACAAACAAACAAAAAACCAAAGUACAACAUUUGGAGACUGCACUUUUUGCUGUUUCUCAGGUUACGUCUGAUACGACCAAACACUUCAGCGAAGGAGCUAUAAGGAGGAGAAAUCAGGAAAGGCUAAAAUUACAAGAACUAGAAGAAGAAAGGAAAAAAGAAAAGAAAAGAGAAGAGGAAGUAGCUGAAAGAAAAAGAAAAGAUGAUGAGCAAAAAGUCCGAGUAAAGAGGAAGAAGGCCAGGGUAAGGAGACAAGCCCUGAAGGAAAGAGACAGACACCAGCACAGGAAACAGAAGCCCAAAGCCAAAGCUGAGGCACCUCAAGAGCCAGACUCUUCAGAGGAGUGGGAGGAGAGGAAGUACCUAGUGGCUCAGAGGUGAGUUGAGGCACUUCGGUUCCUAAGGGUA